CUCACACAGCCCUGAGCAUCGCCCUUCUCCCUUGCUGACAACAUUGCCCACAGUCUCCAGGGGUAGCCUUGCCCCCAUAUGGCGGGACAGAAGCCUUUGUCCCACCAGAUGAUGGUGAAGGCAGCAGAGACAGAGAGCAAAGCUGAAGAGCUGGUACCCCAAAAACGCAACAGGACCCUCCAGGAAAGAACAGGCAUCCCCUUCCUUCUACAAAGGAAUUAAAAAGCUCCAAGGUAGCAUCUUAUCAAAGUCCCACAGCACCAGCUCUUCUGAUUUUACUCCAGUAUGGGUAGGAAUAUACAUACAUGCAUCAAAAAAUUAAAACAGAUCUUCAAACAAA